rnacentral:lncRNA from 1 species
CCCGAGCGGGACUGGGCCCCUUUCAGGGAGCGGAAAUUGGGUCAGUGACGAAGUUCUAGGGCCUCAGCCACUCAUAUCGCGAGAGUAGCACAUGCUAGGGCGUAGGAUAGUGGCUCGGAAGGGCCAAGCCCCGCGCAUCGUGCGUACGAAGAUCUGUGUCUUCUUGGACUAGAUGGUGAAGCCCAGUAGCUGGGUUUCGGAGGAGAGAGGACUUGUCCCGGCGCUGCGAGUCGAUGUGGGUGCCCUGCCUUCCCACAGGCUGUUUCUGGGGCAGCGGCGCACUGACCUUCGACAGGCGGGCGUCGGCCAGGUCACAGCCAGUGACGGUGGCGGGCUCUUGACGUGUAGGGUGUGGUGUGCUCAUACCGCCUGGAGUGGUGGCGUGGGCGCGAGCCGAAUUCCAGUAGUUUAGAGUCUCAGCCUGCUGCGAACCCCGUGUGACUCAGUCUCAGUCUCCUCAUCUGUCAGUUGGGAGUAGAUAAGUUAAUUCCUGUGAUGGCUCCCGCCCUGUACUGUACCUAUUCUGUAAUUGUUCACUCACUCCCCCUCCUGGAGUUGCCUCAGUGUGUAGAGACAGCCUCAUUUGUUCGUUGAUAUAACAUCCAUUUCCUCAGGGUGUUCCAUAGAUCAGUGUUUUCCAAAUGUGUUGGACAGCAACCAAAAGAAACAUUUUGCAUCGCGACCUUAAAUAUUGUACACUUACAUAAAUAUAAAAGCGAACCAGAAGUUUCUGGAAGCAGUGAGGGCAGCAGUUUGCAGAAUGGAGUUUGGAAACCAUUGGUUUGAAUCUCAGCUCUGUCCCUGACCAGCCGUUGGGGCACCAAGAAGACCAUAUAUGUAUUUGUAUACUGGGUGGCAGGGACUGAAUUGACUGUACCAAGAAGCAUCUUCUGGGGGAACAUGAGUGGGUUGAAGGGGAGUAUGCUUAAUUUUUUCCACUUUGGGAUUGUAGACCAGAUUAUAGAGGUUAUGUAUGGAAAACCCAAAAUAUAUUCCUAGGGGAAAGAGAUGAAAACUAAUACACUUAUUAAGUACUAUCUAUGAAAUCAUAUUUAAAUUUCUCAGUAACCGUUGAAAUAAGUAUUGUCAUCCUUUACCAUAGACAAGGAAACUAAGGCUAAAAGCAGGCACGUGAUAUCCCUAAGUUCAUACAAUAAGUUGGACAGGUGGACUUUAACCCAUUUUGGCUUAGUCCAAAGCCUGUUUACUUGAUAUUACACAAUGCUACUUUACUGUUUUGAAAGAAGACCACAUGGAACCUGAUGAUUGAUACCCCUGAACUGUUAGCUGGCCUUAAAUUUUUGUAAUAAAAUGAAUAGAUGUAUACAUAGUACUUUAUGGCCCAGGUGAGCAUUUUUACUCGACAACACUUAGCUGUCAUUGGCUAUUGGUGUUUGGUUUUUGGACAUGGAAUAAUGAUUGAUUAGUCCUCCACAAGCACCUUGAACCCAUCACCUUCACUGGAAACAUAGUUCUUACUUAACAGCAUGUUUUAUACAAAGUUCUAAGGAAAGUAAUUUUUAGAUUUGGCUUGGAGUCUAUGAGUUUCAUGGAUGAAGUUUAAUCUCUUUACUGGCAUGUCUAUUUUUUAUG